rnacentral:rRNA from 1 species
AUGGGCUCCUCUGCAGAGGAGCUAGCUCCGCGCCGUGCGCUCCAGCACCGACGCUCGUGCCGUUCAAUGGCGACGGCGGCCAUGGCCAUGCUCACUCAUGCUCCAACGCCGGCCGUCCUCGCGCAAGUCCCUUUUCCUCUGUAUCUUCAGAUCCCAUCCCACCACCCGAGCGCCUCCUCCUCGCGCCCUCGUCGACGAUCUGCAGACUGCAGUAGCAGCAGCAGGACCCCCGCCGGAAGCAGCAGCUCCACCGCACAACAACGGCGCUGCGGGUGUCACUCUCGAGCGCCAGUUCACGGUCCCAGCGCCCAUCUACCUGUGCAGCGCGGCCGCUAA